rnacentral:rRNA from 1 species
CCUACGGGCGGCAGCAGUGAGGAAUAUUGGUCAAUGGACGAGAGUCUGAACCAGCCAAGUAGCGUGAAGGAUGACUGCCCUAUGGGUUGUAAACUUCUUUUAUAUGGGAAUAAAACGUUCCACGUGUGGGAUUUUGUAUGUACCAUAUGAAUAAGGAUCGGCUAACUCCGUGCCAGCAGCCGCGGUAAUACGGAGGAUCCGAGCGUUAUCCGGAUUUAUUGGGUUUAAAGGGAGCGUAGGAGGAUUGUUAAGUCAGUUGUGAAAGUUUGCGGCUCAACCGUAAAAUUGCAGUUGAAACUGGCAGUCUUGAGUACAGUAGAGGUGGGCGGAAUUCGUGGUGUAGCGGUGAAAUGCUUAGAUAUCACGAAGAACUCCGAUUGCGAAGGCAGUUCACUGGACUGCAACUGACACUGAGGCUCGAAAGUGUGGGUAUCAAACAGGAUUAGAUACCCGAGUAGUC